rnacentral:piRNA from 2 species
UGCUUUGUUGUUCUGCCUGUCCUAGUC